GCCAAUUUAGCUCAGGUGGUAGAGCAGCACCUUCGUAAUGUGCAGGCCGUUGGUUCGACUCCAAUAAUUGGCU
rnacentral:tRNA from 1 species